GACGAACGCUGGCGGCGUGCCUAAUACAUGCAAGUCGAACGAGAGCAACCGGUGCUUGCACUGGUCAAUCUAGUGGCGAACGGGUGAGUAACACGUGGGUAACCUGCCCAUCAGAGGGGGAUAACAUCCGGAAACGGAUGCUAAAACCGCAUAGGUCUUCGAACCGCAUGGUUUGAAGAGGAAAAGAGGCGCAAGCUUCUGCUGAUGGAUGGACCCGCGGUGCAUUAGCUAGUUGGUGAGGUAACGGCUCACCAAGGCCGUGAUGCAUAGCCGACCUGAGAGGGUGAUCGGCCACAUUGGGACUGAGACACGGCCCAAACUCCUACGGGAGGCAGCAGUAGGGAAUCUUCCGCAAUGGACGCAAGUCUGACGGAGCAACGCCGCGUGAGUGAAGAAGGUUUUCGGAUCGUAAAACUCUGUUGCUAGAGAAGAACAAGUGCUAGAGUAACUGUUAGCGCCUUGACGGUAUCUAACCAGAAAGCCACGGCUAACUACGUG
rnacentral:rRNA from 1 species